CCUACGGGUGGCUGCAGUGGGGAAUAUUGGGCAAUGGGCGCAAGCCUGACCCAGCAAAGCCGCGUGAAGGAAGAAGGCUUUCGGGUUGUAAACUUCUUUUGUCAGGGACGAAGCAAGUGACGGUACCUGACGACUAAGCCACGGCUAACUACGUGCAAACAUCCGCGGUAAAACGUAGGUGGCAAGCGUUAUCCGGAUUUACGGGGUGUACAGGGCGGUUAGGCGGGGAGGAAAGUCAGAUGUGAAAACCACGGGCUCAACCUGUGGCCUGCAUUUGAAACUGUUUUUCUUGAGUGCUGGAGAGGCAGACGGAAUUCCGGGUGUAGCGGUGAAAUGCGUAGAUAUACGGAGGAACACCAGUGGCGAAGGCGGAUUGCUGGACAGUAACUGACGCUGAGGCGCGAAAGCGUGGGGAGCAAACAGGAUUAGAUACCCUUGUAGUC
rnacentral:rRNA from 1 species